rnacentral:lncRNA from 1 species
CGGUUCUCCAUUUCAUAAGCGAUGUUGUUGAUCUCCUCAGCGAUCUUCUCGAUUUCUUUUCUGGCUUGUUCCUCUGCAGUUCUCUCCUCGGUGUUCAGUAUGAUGUCUUCCAGGCGCUUUUGCUCCACCUGGCGCCGACCGCUCUCUUCUGCCUCCCGCAUGCGCCGUUGGCGCUCAGCCAGCAUGGCGAAGGCGUGGAUCCUCCUCUCCUCCUGCAACCUCACCAGCUCUUUGGACAGGAAGUCGAACAUAUCCGCCAGCACUCUUCCUUCCAGGUCACCCAAGUGGUUUUCAAUCACUGACAACUGAAAAACAAUAAAAAAAAGAACACACUGCCAUUUCUAAAAAUUGUAUGUGGGAGGUGAGACAUGAAAGAAAACAAGAGGCUUCUUAUGAAAGGGACAGAGAGGGGAGCAGCCUGAGAACAGC